GACGAACGCUGGCGGCGUGCCUAAAACAUGCAAGUCGAACGAGGGUAGUAAUACCUUAGUGGCGAACGGCGGAGUAAUACAUAAGCAACGUGCCCCGAAGACUGGGAUAUACAGCCGAAAGGCUGGGCAAUACCGGAUGUGACGGAAGGAUGGCAUCAUCUUUCCAUUAAACAGUUUUUUGUCUCGGGUAGGCGGCGUUAUUGGCCGUAC
rnacentral:rRNA from 1 species